CCAGUGUGCGUGUCUGCUCGCUCUCAUCUCCCUUGAAUCCGACCCAAAUCCCCAGCCGCGGGUGGGCCGGCGGCGGGACACCGUACUUCCGGCGUGCGGGCGGCGUCCGGCGCCUGGCGCGUGGGGCUGCGUGCAGGCUGCUUCCGUUGGCGGCUGCGGCCUUCGGGGCGGGCGGCGUCCGGCAGGCGGCGCGCGGGCCUGCGGGGAGACAGCAGGGACUGCGUGCGGGCGGCCUACGGCGGAGGCCGCGAGCUGUGGGCUGCGGCCUUCUGGUGGCCGCCGCCGUUGCGGGCGGCGUCCGGAGGCCGAUUUCUACUGUGCCUCCCGGAUUAGAACUGAAUCACAACUAGAUUGUGCGGCUUCGCAGUCAGUACCAGUAGCAAUUAUAGAACAUCGAGUAUUGGAAAUGGAAACCUCAGCUGCUGCUACCUGUUUCAUUCCAGCAAAUUUUUAUUUGGUUCAAAGGGAAGAUGAUGGAGUGGCCGCCGCCAUCAACGUCGCCGUCGCCGUCGCUGGUGGUGCGCAGCCCCAGACAGACGGUCAGCCUGAUCCGCAACCGCCGACCCCACCGCGACUGGGCCCCCUCCUCGAGGUCCCCCUCCUUCGCCGCCCGCGACCAUGGCCCCAAGCCGUCGGAGGUGUACGGCUUCGUCGGAUCCAUCACCACAGUCAUCGCCACCGCUGUCUACCUCGCCUGGGCAUACACGCCUGAGCCCGUCCUCCGGUCUCUCGGCAUCACCUACUACCCUAGCAAGUAUUGGGCACUGGCGGUGCCAUCGUUUGUGAUUGUGGCUGUGGCGCUGUCCAUGGGCAUCUACAUGGGUCUCAACUUCGUUGCCACGCCUCCUCCAACUUCCUUCAGUACUAUCUUCGAUGAAAACAGUCGGGAGCGCACAACGUUUUCUCCUGCCAUUGAGGAGGAGAGACCCAUCGAACCCAUCUCAGACAUUAGCAUUGAUCAGAUAAACAAUCUUAUGUUUGGUGAUAGAUGAUUUCUCCAGGUGGAAUAUGAGAUUAUCAUGGAUCCCCAGAUUGGAAACAGUAGCAACAUGAAGAGUAGAUUCCACGACAAGUGAACUUUCGUACUGCCUGCAUAAGCGUGAUGACUCUAGUUGGAGUGUGAGUUUCCAACAGAGCGCCAGAUUGGAAGCAAUGGAAACAUGAAGAAAGAAUCCACGUCGAAUGAAACUUUCAUAUUGCCUGCAAGCAUGACCUACUUGUGUUGUGCAGUAGUAAUGUGAUACACUGUAGUAGACUAGUAGUGCUGUUUUUUCUGUUGCUGUAGUGGAGCUUGCAUUUGCAUUCGCAUUUUUUUUUUUUGAACUGAAAGACUUCAUCCGCGCCUAUGAUGUCUGGCGGUAUUGGUUUGAAGAAUGGUAGUCUAUGAUCAUUUUUCCACACUUUUUAUUUGAUUGUGAAUGACUGAAUGGAAUAAGUUAAUCGAUAGAUCA